rnacentral:rRNA from 1 species
UACGAGGGGGGCAAAUGUUGUUCGGAAUCACUGGGCGUAAAGGGAGCGUAGGCGGGUUUCUAAGUCAGGUGUUUAAUCCCGGGGCCCAACCCCGGACAGGCACUUGAAACUGGGAAUCUUGAAUAGGGGAGAGGUCAGUGGAAUUGGAGGUGUAGCGGUGGAAUGCGUAGAGAUCUCCAAGAACACCAGUUGCGAAGGCGGCUGACUGGACCCAUAUUGACGCUGAGGUGCGAAAGCGUGGGGAGCAAACAGG